AUUGGCCUUGUUCCUGAGCUGUUGGAUUCGGGGCCGUAGCACUGUCUGAGAGGUUUACAUUUCUCACAGUGAACCGGUCUCUUUUUCAGCUGCUUCCUGGCUUCUUUUUAC
rnacentral:pre_miRNA from 1 species